UUCCUUCCAUCUUCAUCACCUUGAGCAUCUUCUGGGCAGCUGAGGUGGCCGCAGAUGGGAAGGAA
rnacentral:miRNA from 1 species